UACGAAGGGGGCUAGCGUUGCUCGGAAUUACUGGGCGUAAAGGGCGCGUAGGCGGAUGUUUAAGUCAGAGGUGAAAGCCCAGGGCUCAACCUUGGAACUGCCUUUGAUACUGGGCAUCUUGAGUAUGGGAGAGGUGAGUGGAACUCCGAGUGUAGAGGUGAAAUUCGUAGAUAUUCGCAAGAACACCAGUGGCGAAGGCGGCUCACUGGCCCGAUACUGACGCUGAUGCACGAAAGCGUGGGGAGCAAACAGG
rnacentral:rRNA from 1 species